rnacentral:rRNA from 1 species
CCUACGGGAGGCAGCAGUGGGGAAUAUUGCGCAAUGGGCGAAAGCCUGACGCCGCGACUCCGCGUGAGGGAUGAAGGUCUUCGGAUCGUAAACCUCUGUCAGCAGGGAAGAACGGUCACUUUGCUAAUCAGCAGUGAAUUGACGGUACCUGCAAAGGAAGCAUCGGCUAAAUCCGUGCCAGCAGCCGCGGUAAUACGGAGGUUGGGAGCGUUAAUCGGAAUUACUGGGCGUAAGGCGCUCGUAGGCGGUCUGACAAGUCAAGGGUGAAAUCCCCGCGCUUAACUUGGGAACUGACUUUGAAACUGGCAAUCUGGAGUGUGUGAGAGGAUAGUGGAAUUCCAGGGGUAGGAGUGAAAUCCGUAGAUAUC